CUGACCGUAAACGAUGCCAACUAGCGAUCCGCCGGUGGUAAUUACGCCCCGGCGGGGAGCUUCCCGGAAACGAAAGUCUUCCGGUUCCGGGGGAAGUAUGGUUGCAAAGCUGAAACUUAAAGGAAUUGACGGAAGGGCACCACCAGGAGUGGAGCUUGCGGCUUAAUUUGACUCAACACGGGGAAACUCACCCGGCCCGGACACCGUAAGGAUUGACAGAUUGAGAGCUCUUUCUUGAUUCGGUGGUUGGUGGUGCAUGGCCGUUCUUAGUUGGUGGAGCGAUUUGUCUGGUUUAUUCCGAUAACGAACGAGACUCUGGCCUACUAACUAGUGACAGGAUUAUUGCUGUCCUGGUUACUUCUUAGAGGGACAAGUGGUGUUCAGCCACACGAAAUUGAGCAAUAACAGGUCUGUGAUGCCCUUAGAUGUCCGGGGCUGCACGCGUGCUACACUGGAGGAAACAGCAUGCAAAACCAUUGCCGAGAGGCAUUGGUAAACCCGAGAAAAUCUUCCGUGAUCGGGAUCGGGAAUUGCAAUUAUUUCCCUUGAACGAGGAAUUCCCAGUAAGUGUGGGUCAUC
rnacentral:rRNA from 1 species